CCAAUAGCGUAUAUUAAAGUUGUUGCAGUUAAAAAGCUCGUAGUUGAAUUUCGGGAUCAAUAUGUCGGUCGUGCCUUCGGUACGUACUGGCGUUAUUGGUUUCUCCCUUCUGACGAACCACGAUGUCAUUAAUUUGGUGUCAUGGGGAAUCAGGACUGUUACUUUGAAAAAAUUAGAGUGUUUAAAGCAGGCUCCCGCUCGAAUACAUUAGCAUGGAAUAAUGAAAUAGGACGUUUGAUUCUAUUUUGUUGGUUUCUAGGAUCGACGUAAUGAUUAAUAGGGAUAGUUGGGGGCAUUAGUAUUCAAUUGUCAGAGGUGAAAUUCUUGGAUUUAUUGAAGACUAACUACUGCGAAAGCAUUUGCCAAGGAUGUUUUCAUUAAUCAAGAACGAAAGUUAGGGGAUCGAAGACGAUCAGAUACCGUCGUAGUCUUAACCAUAAACUAUGCCGACUAGGGAUCGGAUGAUGUUAAUUUUUUAAUGACUCAUUCGGCGCCUUACG
rnacentral:rRNA from 1 species